UACGGGGGGAGCAAGCGUUGUCCGGAAUUAUUGGGCGUAAAGAGCUCGUAGGCGGUCUGUCGCGUCGAUCGCGAAAACUUGGGGCUUAACCCUGAGCUUGCGGUCGAUACGGGCAUGACUGGAGUUCGGCAGGGGAGACUGGAAUUCCUGGUGUAGCGGUGAAAUGCGCAGAUAUCAGGAGGAACACCGGUGGCGAAGGCGGGUCUCUGGGCCGAUACUGACGCUGAGGAGCGAAAGCGUGGGGAGCGAACAGG
rnacentral:rRNA from 1 species